GAUGAAGAACGUAGCGAAAUGCGAUAAGUAAUGUGAAUUGCAGAAUUCAGUGAAUCAUCGAAUCUUUGAACGCACAUUGCGCCCCCUGGUAUUCCGGGGGGCAUGCCUGUCCGAGCGUCAUUACAACCCUCAAGCUCAGCUUGGUGUUGGGCCCCGCCGCCCCGGCGGGCCCUAAAGUCAGUGGCGGUGCCGUCCGGCUCCGAGCGUAGUAAUUCUUCUCGCUCUGGAGGUCCGGUCGUGUGCUCGUCAGCAACCCCCAAUUUUUUUCAGGUUGACCUCGGAUCAGGUAGGGAUACCCGCUGAACUUAAGCAUAUCAAUAAGCGGAGGA
rnacentral:misc_RNA from 1 species